GCGGCGGCGGCGGCGGCGC
rnacentral:misc_RNA from 1 species